AUACGGAGGAUGCGAGCGUUAUCCGGAUUUAUUGGGUUUAAAGGGAGCGUAGGUGGGAUAUUAAGUCAGCUGUGAAAGUUUGGGGCUCAACCUUAAAAUUGCAGUUGAUACUGGUUUCCUUGAGUACGGUAUAGGUGGGCGGAAUUCGUGGUGUAGCGGUGAAAUGCUUAGAUAUCACGAAGAACUCCGAUCGCGAAGGCAGCUCACCGGGCCGGAACUGACACUGAUGCUCGAAAGUGCGGGUAUCAAACAGGAUUAGAUACCCUGGUAGUCCGCACAGUAAACGAUGAAUACUCGCUGUUUGCGAUACACUGUAAGCGGCCAAGCGAAAGCGUUAAGUAUUCCACCUGGGGGGUACGCCGGCAACGGUGAAACUCAAAGGAAUUGACGGGG
rnacentral:rRNA from 1 species